UACGGGGGGGGCAAGCGUUGUUCGGAAUUACUGGGCGUAAAGGGCUCGUAGGUGGCCAACUAAGUCAUACGUGAAAUCCCUCGGCUUAACCGGGGAACUGCGUCUGAUACUGGAUGGCUUGAGGUUGGGAGAGGGAUGGCGGAAUUCCAGGUGUAGCGGUGAAAUGCGUAGAUAUCUGGAGGAACACCGGUGGCGAAGGCGGGUCUCUGGGCCGUAACUGACGCUGAGGA
rnacentral:rRNA from 1 species